UCAAAUAUGGGCAAGGCAGAUGCAAUAACGGCAUUAAUUCAAGCAAUUUUUUAAAGAAAAAAAAUGAAAAAGAAGUACUAUUAUGAAAGGAUACUUACAGUAUCCUUAAUAUAGUAAUUUGGUGCAUUCGUAGAAUCAACAUCAUGUGGAGGAAUCCUAAGCAAAGGUACUAACGCACUAAGCGGUAUCUUAUCUUGUCCAACAGAUUCUCUUUAAAACAAAUACAACAAAUUUCAUUAUUAUUAUGAUGAUUAUGACCCCUUAAUUAAGCCAUAUGAUCAUGACUGAGACUGAGAUGAUGUAUCAUACAUACCCACUUAUUGCAUGAGUUUGCCAUUUGCUCAAAUGUUCUCUUUCUUUCUCCGUGAAAGGAAACCUCAAAUAUGCCUCAACAUCCUACAAAAGUCGAAACAAUUUUGAAAACCCCUAAAUAAUAAAUCAAUUCUGAAAAUACGAAAUUUUUUUAGGCAUAUAUAUGAGAUGUUAGAAAUAUAGUACUAGCCUAAGCUUUUAGGUUGAGUUUUCCUCAUAUAGCUUUACAAAAUGUGAAGGGAAUUAUUGAAUGUAACCUUUUCUGUCCAUAUUGUUGUACCCUUCUUGCAACUUUUCAUCACAAAAGUCUCUUUCUCCUCCAUCUUCCUUUUAGCCUAUCAAAUGAAAAUGUAUAAAAGAAACUCAAUUUUUCAGAAUUCAAGGCUAUAAUGUAGCAAAACACAUUCAAUUGAUCAAUUAUACCAUAUGCACAUACCCUGUUCUGCAUUGGUGCAAGAUUUACUCUGUCAUCUGAUGACAAUAAGUUAAAAAGAACGUCAUGUUGCAAUGAUGCAGAAUACAAGUUCAACAAGAUAGCACAACUAUAGCUGUUGAGUGAGUUAGAAGCUUCAUCUUGCCGAAUUUACUCACAGUUUUAAUACCUCUUUAAAAGUGUAUUGGUCUUCUAAGUUUCCUGUUUGCAUCAAUAUAUAGCUUGGUUCCAUGUUAACUAAAACUGCAGAGUUUUGACUCACAUCUAUAAAGGGGUUUUUCAAUAAUAGAACUUAUUUCCAUAUUACUUUACUUUAUUAUUUAUUUUCUAUAGGAGAUAAGAUGAUAAUAAGAACUUAAUUCAGUAGUACCUUCUUUAGGAGAUUCUAACCAAUCCCUGCCGCAUAUCAUCGCCUCUAUGAUCUGAGGAUCUAAUCCACUGAAUAUUGGAUUGUCCAUGAAAAUCUUUUCAUUGAAAGUGGAACUUGAUAUAAUAGAUGACACAGGUAUUGCUAAGAUAUCACGAACCAUCCUCGCAAGAAUAGGAAAGUGUGAAGCUUGUUCACACCACCAACCAAGUAUGUCAAAGUCUGGAUUGGAAGAAAUAAUUAUAGGUUGAGAAAGAUAAUUAUCAAGUUCUGACAUCGAUGAGGCUUCAGUAUUCCUUUUGGAAUUGCACCACCUAUGGAAAGAUUCCAUUGUAUUUUCUUCAGCAUUCAACAAUGUCGAUGAAUUAGUAUCAUCGAGGAAUAGUGUCCCACUAGAUAUAUUACUUGCAUAUUCAUAAAAAAUAUCAGUAAGAGUAUUACGAAUCAUUUUCAAAUGAAUUUUGGCUGCUUCAUCGCCAUAGAUUGCAUUGUAGGAGAACUCCACAAAAUUAAAUUUAAAUUGCGGGUCAAGAACAACUGCAAUUGCCAAAAUCAAGCUACAUGUCCAACACUUGUUGUCAAAUUUCACAUUCAUUAAUGGAUAUCCUCUUCCAUCCCGUUGACUCAAUUUCUUGUAGAUGCCAAAAAUGUCCCGCAAACAUGCAUUUGAAGUUCUAAUGCCACCAUCAAUAGAUUUUUCAACAUUCUUCUCACCUGAGUUAUCCUUACCAAGAAGACCAAAACUACAUUCAUCACUACUGAUGAAAAAUGAGCUUGAAGGAUAUGAAGCUACAAAACACUGCCAGCUCUUUCUUAUUUCUUCAGCUAUCUUGAAACAUGAAGAAGAAGUAUGUAUGGUUAAGGAACAAACUUUCUUGCCAAACUUCCAAUACUCAAAGAACUUUUUGAAAUUUUCAAUGAAAGUCCUUUGGUUAAAUUGAUUCCCUAAAUUUUCUAAAGCAAGAAUUUUCUUCUUUAAUUCCCAAUUGUCAUCAAUAAAUUGUACAGUAUAACAACAAUAAGCAGUCUUUUCAAGAUCAUGUACCCACAAACUAAUUGUCAAAUUAAAGCGACAUGAGAGCUUAUCAAAAUUUUGAACGAGCUUACGUUUUUCCUCUUGGUAGACAUGGAUUAUGUUAGAUGAUAGAGCUUCUUGUGAUUGAAGUUUGAACAUUGGUUGCAAAUUUUUCAAAAAAAUACUGAAAAAUUCAUACUCAACCAUAUUCAAUGGGCACUGAUGCUUAAUAAUCAUUCUUGCAACAUCCAUGCUACUCUUAUCUUGAUCAAAUGAAGAAUUACCUUCGCUAGCACUUUCAUUUUUUGAAUCACCUCUCCCAACUUUGGUUGCUCUUUCUUUACAUCUUUUCAAGUGAUUUCUUAGGUGGGUAGUUCCUUUCUUGCUUGAACCAUCAAACUUUCUAUCACAAUAUACACAUAUAGCAAGUUCUUUCCCAUCCCCAUCUUUCUUAUUGAUAAAUUCUUCCCAAACAUCAGAUGUCAACUUUUUUCGUUUGGCACUUGAGAUCAGUAAGUUAUUUACAUCUGCUUUUACCAUCUCAUUCUCAUUUUUUGCAAGUGGUUCAAAUGACGUUUGUUUUCCAUUUCCCUAACAUAAGCAAAAAUCCAUAGAAAAAAAUAAAUUAUUUACGGUCAGUCAUUUUUAAAUAGUUAGCUUUUCAUUUUUUAGAACAAAUAGAUUCAUUUGUAGUUAACAAAAUAUUUAUAAUUAGUACAACAUUUCUAUGGAAAAAUUAAGAAUAGUUAAUACAAUUGUAACCUUAAAUAAAGUGAUAAGGGAACAACAGAUUACCUGCUCAAGAGGCACUCCCCCUGUUCCAGCUGGCGAUGAAGCAUGCAUAGGUAGUGGUGGGUGCAAAUUUGGAAUCACUCCCAUCUAAAAGCAGAUGUUAUUAUCACACGUGAAUGCUAAUUUAUGAAUGACCUUAGAAUAAUAUAAGUAUCAGAUAUUGUAAAUACAAUUAAGAUUGAAUGUUACCGGCUCAUUAAACUCUUGUAUUUCCAUUACAUGAUCAUCCCUUGUGUUUGAGUCUAGCAAAUCAUAGGUAGAUGAAGCAGGUAGAGGUUUCUCAUAGGCACUGUCACCUGCGAAAAGUUUGAAAUAGCUUCUUCUGGAAACCCAACUUUAGUGUCCCGAACCGUUACUUGUACAAACCUUUUCUUCAUAUUUUUCAAGUCAUUGAAGAUACGAAGUGCCAAGGAUUUUACUUUUUCAGACUCUGUUUCAGAUGCAGGCCAAAAGAAUUCUACUACAUAAACAUCAUCAGUGGUAUAUCGGUUCUCUAGACAGAUUGCAACAACAGCUUGAUCGUUAAUACGAGACUCUCCAGAAUAUGGAAAGUCAGAUUUCUUAAAACAUGGUUCAAAAUGGAAGUGCUCACUUGAUUGAAGUGCUUUCCCAGCAAUAGCUUCCCCUUCUAUAAAUUGAAGUCUUUCACAAUGUCCAAUAACCGUUUCAGACCAGAAACAUUGCCCAUAACAACAAGUACUUUGGAUGAAUAAAGCACGUCUCUUGUAUAGAAUUUUAUUCACAUUAGUCCCACAAGCCCAUGUUAAUGCCAAUGAAAGCUUAUAUUCUAAACAUACCUCUUCUAACAUAUCAUAUAUCUCAGCCAAAGCAGCCAUUUGAUUUAAAUUGAUUCCCUGUGUUAAUAUAGAUAAUAAUGAAUUACAACAAAAAGAAAAAAUAAAAAAUAACACAUUUGAAAAGACAAACGCAAUACACCCUUAAAUUAACACUUUUUGUAAGGAUGACAAUGCAUAGGAUAUCCACUAAUUUUAAGAUACUCAUAUCCAAAUUCAAUUAUCAAAUAUAAUAUCCAUACUGAACCCAUUUGGUAAUACCCUAUUAAAAUCUGAUUCCAUUUAUUUAGUUAAAAAUAUAUCGGUAUCUAUUAAAGAACCUAACCCAUUCCAAAUUCAAUAAUAAAAUAAAAUAGAAUUAUUUUAUAUGUUUUGUUAAUAAAAUUAAAUUAAUAAAUUUAAAAAUGUAUUUUAUAAUUAGAUAAUUUAAAAAUUUUACUAAAUAAUUUGUAAAUAUUAAAAAAUUCAUGAUUUAUAAUUGAAUUCGAAUAACAGAUGCCCUAAACUUACCACAUGCAUCCUACUCAAAUCCUUUACAAAAUACUCUAAUAAUACUUAAUCAGAUCGAAUAGCAUUGGAUAUCCGCUUAUACCCUAUCCAUAGCCAUCUUUAACUUUUUGGCCAUUUUGUAUGCAACUUCUAAGAGUGACAAUAUAUAAUAGUGCAACUUCAAAUUGGAGCUUUUUGUUAAAGUCUUCCCUUUUUCAUUUUAAUACCAUGGUACUUAAUGUCUCUAACUACAAGGCUUGAAGUUUAAUAAUUUUACCUAAAUUUUCAGUCCCAACAACAUGUACUUUAAUAUUCAGGCGGCCCCUAUUAUGCUUUUGUAAAAUUCUAUGUUUGUUUUGGUACUUAAAAAACUAUUAUUCCAAAAAAAAAAACUAAAAUAAAACUUUUGGCAUGCUUUGAAGCAACCAAUAAAUAUAUAUUAUAAAUUUUGACAUCGUAAUUUUACUUUGAUUAAAAAAAUAAUCAAAAGUUAUUAGUAAAAAUUAUUAUUUUGAAGAUCAUUCUCUUAUUUUCUUACAAAAUAAUUUUUUCACCGUUAAAUUUUGAUAAUUUUUUUUAUCAAAUUAAAAGCAUAAUGUUAUAAUUGCACUAAUCCAAAGAUGAAUGAUAAAUUGAUUAUUUUAGUGAAGAUAAAACAGUAUAUAUUUAGACCUUAACUCAUUAAAAAAAUACAAACUAUUGAUAACUUUUUAAAGUUAAAACCAAAGUAAAAAUUAAAAAAGGCUAAUAUGCAAUUUAUACUCUUGAACUAUAUUACGUUUACAGCUUUAUAUUUAAAAAGAAAAAUCACAAUUUGAGAUCUUAAUUUUGUUUUUGUCAAACACUUUUUAAUAUUGACGAAUGGUAUUAAUUAAAAAGAUGAUGUGGCAAAUAUAAUUGCCACUGAAAAUGUGUUGUGUUAUGAUCUUAUUUGUUAUUUUAUUAAUAUAUUAGCAUAUUAUUAAUAGAGCUAGUAUUUAAGGGCAAAAAUGUAUGACGAUGAAAAUUGAGAUACUAAAUUGUAAAUUUUUAUAGGUACUAAAUCAUGAAAAAUAAUAUAAUUUAAGAAUCAAAUUGCAUAUUAGUCCAAGUAAAAAUUUUAGUUUUGUAUUGUUUAGGAGACUUGAAAAAGAUAACUAAAAGAAAGAAAAAUUAAUACCUCUAGAAAAGGUUGUAGAGGUUGUACUUUACUUUCCAUUAGAGGAGUUGGAUUGAAACCUAUAAGAAAAUUGAUAAAAAUAUCAUCAUUAAUGAAUAUAAUCAUAAAUCUAAAUAAUAAUAAAUUAAGAAAAUAAUUGAUGAUAUAUGUAGAUUCUUUAUCAUAAAAUUAAGGGUCAACGAUCCAUUUUAUCAUUUUUUUAGUUUAUUGAUCAAAUUUUAUCAAUCAAUCAUCUUUGAACUGAUUGAUAAAUUUUUAACACAACACUUUUUAUUUAACCCCAAAUUAGUCAAAAUAUAUACCAAUAAAAUAUUUCAUUGUCAUACUAGUGAAAGAAUGAAAUAUUUUUUAGUUUUUUAAAAAUUAAAAAACUGAAAAAUAAAAAAUAAACAAAACUAGAAAAAAAAAAAAAGAAAAGCAAAGGAGAGAAAGAAUAAAGAAAGUAUAGGAAUGGAAAGGGAAAUUGCUUAGUCUUGUCGUCAAGCGUUAAUCUAAAGCCAAUUGACCAAAUUUUGGAUGUAUGAAAAGGCAAUGAAGAAAGAAAAAAGCAAAUGGAUUGUAAAAGGAGAGAAAGUGGGAAAAGAGAGAACUUAUAGAUCUAGCUAGAUCUAGUGAUUUAAAAUACGAUACGAUAACAAGAUAUGAAUACGAUACAAAAAAAGAUGUGAGGUGACCUAAUUUAAAAUUUUAUCCAUAACUAUAUAUGAGUUUAACAAAAACAAAAAAAUGUAUUUUAUAUUUUUGUGUCGACACAAAUUAUGACACGUAAUUUUUAUGUAAAACAUAAUACAAAUACACGAAUUUCAAUAUUUUACACAACAAAAUAUAUGAAUUAUCAUAUCUAGAUCUAGUAUGGCGAGAUGGAAAUGAGAAGAGUAAAAUGGUUUGGUUAUCUACGCUAAUUUGCUUUGAUUAUGCUUAGAAAGUGAGGUAAAUAUUUUAAGCCUAAGGAGCAUUUAGUUCAAGGAUUUUUAGAUAUUGGAAGGUAAAUGAUUCUGCUGAAAAAUGAUAGUUAAAGGGAAUAGAUGAUUCAUGUAUUUUGUUGAUCUUAAGAAAUAUAAGAUUUUUAUAUAAUUUGCGAAAUCUAAGAUUACCUAAUGAAUUCUUUUACUAUAUUGUUUUUGAUGACACAUAUAUAACAUGUGACAUUUAUAUAAUCAUUUAUUUAAUAUUUUUAUAAUAUAUUUAUUUAACAUAUGAAUAACUUAUAGAAAUAAUAAUGAAAAAAAAAGCAUUAAUCUCAAACAUGGAUGUGACAUGAUUAAAGAAGCUAUAAUCAUCACAAUAUAUUUCUCAAGAUUAUUCAUGUAUCAUAAUGCAUGUAUUUCUCAAAAUUUAAUACCAAAUCAAAAUGCAUAAUUUUAAAACUUAGUCAUGCAGUAAAUCAUAGUUGCGAACUAUGAUCACAAAUAUGUUUAACAAUAUAAUUCAUUUUCUCCUUUCUAAUUCCAAGAUUUAUAAAACAUUAAACAUAUGCAUAAUUACACCAAGCAACUAUGAAAUAUUCUAAAAUAUUUUUUAGAACAUUUAUCUAUCAAAGUCAUAAUUAAUGACUAACAAGAGAAAACCACUUAUGAAUUCAUAUGCUAAAUUUACUUAACAAUUUAUCACCUGUUUUAUACUAUCAACUAUAAUUUUCAAAUUAAUGAACAUGUAUUAUGCUAAUCAUCAUAAAUAUGCAUAAACAAUUUAUUGAUCUUCAAACAAUGUCAUUUUACAAUUUAUCAAAUACUUUACACUAUCAAUUAUCAAUGAAUGCGUUAAUCAUAAACAAUGUCACAUAAUACUUUAAUGACAUCAUUGUUAAGUAUAUUUCAUCAAUAAAUUUCUAAUAUAAUUGUAUUCAAAUGAAGUGUAUAAUCAAUGUCAAUGUUUUUUGUGUUCAUUCUCACACCAAUUCAUCUAGUUGUGAUUUCUCACAUAAUUCUCGUUAGGUUGUUUUUCAACCUUUCCUUUGAUUUUACUUGUGCAUGAUCCUUUGAUCAAAUACCAAGUCACAAUAAAAUGAAAAAAAAAUCAAAUAAUAAGUCUUCAAAACAUAUCCAUCAUUGGAAUGAACUUCAAUCAAAUAUAUUUAAACACAAUCAUGCAAUCAAUCAAUCAUCUCAAUAUAAUCAUUAUGCUAAAGUCACAUAGCAAAUUUUCAUCAUAGUUAAAACAUUAUAAGAAUAUAUAAAAUGUCCAAAUAAAUUUCAAUACCUCUAAUUAUUAGCAAACAUAUUUAGAAGUUUUAUUCAAAGAAGAAUAAACAUCGUCAUUGACUUUGGUAUUUUUGAUCAAGAGAUAUAUCACUUUAGUAUUUCUGUCAACCAUUUUGUAUUGAGUUCAUAUUUUUGUUAAACUCAAUAGUUGUCACAACUCCUUAAAAAUGAAAGAAUACCUUUUGAUAACAUUUCAGCAUUGUACAAAUGUUCACACCAAAAAUUAAAAUGUUACUCUUAAGAUAAUAAAUUGCAAUGAUUAGGCAACUUGUUGCUUUUUUGUAUUUUAUUUCCAAAACUUAGUUUUCACAAUAAAUAUUCUAAGUAAUCAAUUUUCAUAGUUGAUUACUUCUUUUAAAAAUAUCUCAUGAGUAAUAUUUUGGUCAUGAAACUCUUUCUUUCACUUCCCUUGAUCAUAUACCAACAUAUAAACUAACACUCAAAUCAAUCAAUGACUACUAAAUAAAAAAAAAAAUCAAUCAAUAACAACCAACUAUAUUCUUUUUGACAACCUUUAGCCCAUGAUCUUAAACGAAAAUGUUUAAGCCAUUAAUCAUGCAAUUAAACAUAUCACCAUAUAAAUUAAUUGUAAUAAGUAAAUUACUAACCUUAAUGUACAGGAACAUUAAACUCUUUAGGACACUUACCAUUUGCUUUUUUAUUUUUUAACCAUACUUACUUUUGUUGAAUUCAAGAUUUGUUGAACAAAUUCGAAUAAAAUGAUUCUAUGUCAUAGUCAAAAUAAAACAUGGGGGAAAACCAAUUUUAAUCUUCCACAAUCAUUUCCACAAUAAGUUAGAGAGUUAUUGAAAAAAUAACUUUAUGAUUUUUGGUUCAACACCAAGAACAUUCUUAAUAGCCUUCCAUAAAAUAUUCUCCAUUUCAUGAUCAUGAACUUGAACAUAAUGUUGCCAUUGAAGGAGAUUUAUUAUCCUUAAAUUGUUGUAUAUUGGGUAUAGUUAUAGCAACAUAAUCAAUAAAGUAUGCAAAAAAUACAGAAUUAGAGAAGAAAAAAUUGAUAUUUGGGCAAGACAUUUCCAAGAAAUUUUCUUAAAGAUAAUAGUCUCCCUACUGCAAUGCAAAUGGAUUCUUGGAGACGUUAUACCCAAGAAAAAAUGCCUAAAGUUGAAGAAGAAAAUGAUUGCACUUCAUGUUUUUCUUGAACUCAUGUGAACCAUGAACCCAAAGAAAAAAAAAAGAGCAUAGGAAGAUAAAACUGUUUUGGAUCUUUAAGAAUGAAAAGAUGUAAGGUUGUUAAAAUUGUGUUUAGAGGAAUAUUUUUGACCUCAUAAGGUGUUUCAAACCACCUUCCUAAAAGCAUCAUUCAAAUGAAUUGAUGCAACUUUUGGAAUGAAAGAAUUCCAACAUGCUUAUAUUUAGUCUUAAAGUGUAGAUAUUCGAAUGCCAAACAUGGGAUAUUCGGAUGUUUGCUUUCCAAAAUGUGGGUAUUCAAAUACCCAACUAGGGUAUUCAAAUGCCUACUCUUUAACUUUCAAAUUGUCAUUUUAAAAUAUAGCAUUCAAUUUCCCUUUACUUAUUUCAUUCCAAACGUUAUUGUAUACUUUUAAAAUACAAUUUUAUCAACAAAUGCAUUCUACAUUAUUUAGAAACAAUCAUUUUACCUAAAAACAUUGUUCUUUGGUAAUAUAUAAAACAAAAAAAAGAAAAAAAAAGAAAAAAAAGUCAACUUCAUACCAACCAUAUUAGUGAUCUUUUUAUAUUUUUAAAAUAAAUAUUUCAUGAACUUUUUUUUUGUUAAUGUUUGAUUGAUAUAAAUUAUGUAAAUUACACUCGUUCAUAAAUUCAUGGUAAAUUUUGAUGACAGAUUAAAUAGUGAUAAAUUUGAUCUUUAAUCAUUAAUUUAAAUUUCAUUAUAUUGAAGCUUUGGGGGUUUUUAAGUAUAUAUUUUCUAGUUGAUUUAUUCAAGAAAAUUUCACUAAUCAAGGAAUAAUUUUAAUUAUGUUUUUUUCCUCUUAUUAUUUUUGCCCAUCUUUUCUUUUUUGUAAAUAUUUUAAAAAUUAUAUUGAAAAUGUUUUAACACUUAAUAGUCUUUUUAAAUAUUUUAAAUUUAUUUUUCAUGAAUUUUUAUCUUUUCACAUUAAAAACUUGGAACAGUUAUUUAUAAAGAAUAAAACUUUCAUAUAAAUAGCAUUAAAAUUAAAGUUUGGUUUUUUAAUUUAUUUUAAUCAAGGAGAUACCAUAUAAAUAGAGGGAGCAUUAUAUUAUCAUAUUAAUUAAAUUAAUGGAAUGGAAGAAAUCAAUAAAUGAAACUUCAUCAAUUGUUAUAACAUUGGAGAAAAAUUAAAGUUAUUAAAUUAAAAAAAAGGUAUGACGUGAAUUGUUUUUUCCCCAAAACAUUUCAUUGUUUUUAGUAAUUUAUAUGAUUAUUAUUAUUACGUAAAAAUAAUUAAAAACUAAUUCAUAAAUGUAUUUUAUAAAAAUAUUUAGAUUAAAUUCAUAUAUUGGCGGCAUUAUGUUUGGUUGUUAGAUUUUUGUGUUAGGUUAAUGAGCAUUAUAUUUUUUAUUAAAUUAUUUAAUCAAAUUAUUAUUUAUUUAAUUUAUUGAAUUAUAAUCUUUUUUAGUGAGAACGUCUAAAACAAAGAAAAAAAUAAUAAAAGUAUAACAAUUAUAAAUUUUAAUGAAAUGAUUUUGAUUUUGAUUUUUUUUUAAUUUUAAAUUUUCUAUUUUAUGUAGUUUUAUGUUUCUAUUGGGAAUUAUUGGUUUUUUAGAUUUUUAGUUUUAUUUUAUUACAAGUAAUGGGGAAUAACAAAUUAUGUUUUUUAAAUCUUUCUUUUGGCUUCCCUUUCUUUUCUGUUCUUUCUUUCAUUUCUCCUUUUUUUUCUCUUAUUCUCCUGCCCAAAGCAUAAAGAAUAUGAGAUAAUAAAUGGAUUCGCUUUAAAAAAAAUAGCAUAAACUACCGCAACUAAAAGUUUCUGUUAAAUUGUGUAUAUUUCAUCAUCUUUUAUACUCAUACCCUCUCAAAAUAAUUGUCCCUUAUUGACUUUUUUUUAUCAAACUAACUUAACUUUGACCUUCAUUUUUUUAAAGUAUUAUAUUAAAUUAAUAGUAUGUUUUGAAAUUUUUGAAAUUCAAAGUUUACAAAUCUUAUUUUUAAAAGCUUUUUGAUUUUAUAAUUUUAUUAAACAUAAUGAUCAAAUUUGAUUUAAUUUUAAAAAAAAAGUUAAUAAAGAAUAAUAAUUUCAAAACAAAGGGAAUAAUAAAUUUUAACAAUUCAUUAACAUAUAGAAAGCCCAACACAUUAUUGUACAAAACAUAUUCAUCUAUCAAACUCGAGCCCAUACAAAAUGCAACCCAAAUUUUUUCAACCCAAUUAAAGUCUACAAUUGCAUCAUACAAUAGUUACUCGCUAAAUGUCAAUAAAUAGAAGGUCAAUUGAAAGUGAAAAAUGUAAAUAAUGUAAGGGAUUAUUGAUAUUAACUAUAGACAAUUAGAGUUAUUAUUAUUUUUUGAACAGAUUUAGAGUCAUUAUUAUUGAUUAUUGAUAUGAACUAUAGAUAAUUAUAACUUAAAAAAGAAAAACAUAUAGACAAUUGGCUAGAGAGGAGUGUUAAUUUUACUAAUUUUAUUUUUUAAAACAUGUCGAGAAUAAUUUAAAAUAGAAAAAUACCUUGAACAAAACUAUUGCCGAUUGGAUUGAGUUUCCAUGCCGAUAUGAAAUACAUAGGGCGAUUCCCCUGGAUCCUAACCAAACAUCCAUUGUCCUCACGAUAGCCAGCACCAAGCCUCCUACUCUGGUCCAGCUUGAGUGGAAAUAGAAAAAGGCCAUUUGUUUCCAAGUGGGAUCGCCACUGAUCCAAAGUAUGGUGUCGCACAAUUCUAUCCCUACCUUCGCAUCCCACUAUAUUAUGUAUAUGUCGCCUUAAACAAUUUUCUUCUUUAUAGUCUAGAAAUGGACGAAAAACAUGAGAGUAAUGUUGAAAAGAGUCCUCAAAGCGUCUAAUGAAAUCGGAGUGAUUAUGAUUAGCAGCAUACUCUUUUAUUAUCACAAGGUCCGGGUUUAUAUUCCUCAACUUUAACAACUCUCUCUCCAAUAUUCCAGCCUCUCUCAGCAACAUAGAGAGUUUAAAGAAAUAGAAGACGACCACAGCCUCAUCCUCUGUUCUUCUGAAAUCCAACAUAGACUCACCCACUUCUUCCAAACUAUUAGCGUAAACAACUUCAAACUUCUCCAACUUAAAUUUAUAUUGCGCGACCGCCUCAGUGAUAUAAUCCUUUUCUUCUUGGACAUUUACAAAUUUUUUCAGAGACGGUGGUAAUAUGACACUUACACGGACUGAUAUGAGAUCGUCAAAAGCAUCGGUUAGUAAAUCAAACAAGCCUUUAGUGUAAUUGAGAUGUGGUAUGCGGAAAUCAAUGAGGUGCACUCGCUUCUUUCCCAUCACGGUGUUGUUUAUGGCAUCUCCAAUAUACUCAUUAGCAAUACCAUCCCAAUACUGUAAAUACAAUGGAGGAGUCAUCUGCAAUUUGAAAUAGGCAAAGUCAGGAUGGAGUCCGUACGCUCGGCGAACUAGAGCUUCUGCAAAGUAUUUCACAACCGUGCUUUGUUGUUCGUCGGGUUCGUCGGGUUCAAGAGUCCAGAUCUGCUUAAGCAGUGAAUCGACAAGUUUCAGAUCCCCAUCUUCAACAGCUCGAGCGCAGUCUAGUAAGACCGGAAAAGCAGAAGAGGCCAUCACUGUAGGCAAAUACUAGUAGAAAUUUGGGGUUGAAGGAUGUAGUUACCGAUGAACUUGAGAAUACAAGUAGGUGACGAAAUUAUUCCAGCGAAAGCAAUAGCGCGUGAUUCAUUGUUUGUGGUGGUCCCCAGUCCGCACACCGCACGCGGUGUUGACUGACCAAUAAUUAAAGCCAAAGCAUCCCAUUCCCACCCACUGUCUGAACAUCGAAUCUUUUUUUUUAUUUUGCCUUUUUGGUUCAUCUAAGUAACCUACCCUUCCUAGAAAUUGCUACAAGGAUUACCGCUACCAUCAUUUUUUCAUUGACCAUAUUUUUUCUAAUCAAAAUAUGAGUCAUAUUUUGUUUUGUUUCUGUACAAAAUUUUCAAUAUAACCGUUUACAGUCAGUGGAAAUUUGAAUUUUAUAUUUCUACUUUCUAAAUUCCACCGGUUUUCGUUAUUUGAUUCUAGUUUUAAUGAAUUUUUUUUUUGCAUUUUUAUUAAAAAAAUGAAAUUAUUUAAAAAUAAUUGAUAAAGAUUUCGAUCUUCAAUUUGAACAAUGUGAUAUUUUAAUAAUGAUAGAACAAGUUAAGGCGGGAUAACUUUGUGUUUGCAUCAAAUAUAUUAAUCUAACAAAUUUAUAUUUUUAAUUAAAUAAUAGUAAAAUUAUUUGUUAGUAUUUUUUUAUUAAAAUAUAAUUGUAGUUGUAGAUGUCUCUAUUUUUUUAAUAAAAUAUGUGAAUUUUCAUAACUAUGAUUCAUGAAUGAUCGAAGAAAAAUUUAAGACUCGUCUGAAGAUGUUUUUAUUUUUAUUUUUUAUGUUUUUAAUUUUACAUUUUUAAAAAUUAAAAAUAAAAUUAUGUUUGAUAGGUUUUUUGAAAUAAAAAUUAAAAAUAAAAUUUUAAAAAUUGUUGAAAGUGAAAAAAACAUGUUUUCAAUAUAUUGAAAAUAUUUUCAUCACAUUUACUAUGCGCGUGAACAAUAAUUGCGCAUGAACAAUAUCAAUUUUAAUGCAAAAAAAUUUAAAAAAAAAUCAUCAAAACUGCCAUUUCUUAGAGCCAAACCACUACCACUUUCACAGCCCAUGCCCAUAAUUACUUCUUUACGUGGUCCCUUGCUUUUUAGUAUUUAUAACAAAAUGCUAAUUCUUUUAUGUGUUUUCAACUUUAGUUAAAUAAAAAUAAAAUAAAAUAUUUAAAAAUAUAUAACAUAAAACAUAAAAUUGACAACAACUCCUUAAUUACUCCGAAUUUUGGUCCGACAGGCAAUCUAUCCUGUUUUUAAUGUGAAUUUGGAUUGGUCAACCAAAACAAAAGAAAAAAUUAUGCACAGUUCAUAAAGUGUUUUCUUGAGUUAAAUAUAAAAAAAUGAUUUUAAUAAAAAUUAAAUAAUUAUCUAAAUUCUUAAUAUUUUAUUACAUUCAACUAAAUUUUUAAAAUUUAUUUUCAUGUAAUUAAAUCAUUAAAUAUUUAUUUUCAUCUACUUAAAAUUUUAAAUAUUUAUUUUUAUCUAAUUAAAUGUUUUAUUGAAAAAAAAUUGACGAUUAAGUAAUUUUGCCUAAUAAAGACUUAAUUAAUUAAUUAUAAUAAAAUGAUAGCAACUUAAAAAUUAUUUAAUUUUAGUUAAAAUUUUUUGUAUAUUUACGUCUUUUUUUCCUUUCAAUAGUCAUAAGUCCCUAAAUGGCUGUCCUUUUCAAGUCAUUCCCACUUUAGUGUUGUAUGAAAAAUUAAAAACUAUAAAUUAAGUCCAUCGGAUCUUUGGAAAUCUUUACUAUAGCUUACAUUAAUUUUCAUUUUUUCAAACCAAUAAGAUAGUCUGUAAAGUUGUAAACUGAUUUCAUCCUAUGAUAGUAUAUUUUACUUGUUCCUAGUUCGGUUAUCUGAUAACAUUUAAUAAACUUUGUAUUUUAUUUUUUAUAAAAAAUUAUAAAUAUUAAAAUUUAAAUUUAAAUUCCUUACUAUAUACUAUCUUUUUAAAAUAAUUAUGUUAAUUAAUUAAAUUAAAAUUCAGAUUUUAUUUUUAGAUAAAUUUGAAAACCAACCUAAAAGUAUCCGACAUCCAACAUUAUUUUCUUAUUUUUUUUCUUUUUUUCUUGUUUCUUGUUCUAAUUUCUUUUUAAUUUUUAAUACACCUACUUAUAAAUAACCAAUCAAAAUUUCAAUUUUAGUCACGCCCUUCUCUUUUCCAUAUAGUAGUAUAUUUUGAUACACAACAAAUUAAAAUUAAUGGGCAUUCAUCCACAGAUUACAAAUAAUGCCCAAGAGCAACCUCCUCCGUCAUCAUCGCUGCCGCCACCACCUCCUCCCAUGGGCCCAAAGGCACAGAUAACCGUUGAAAUUGUUGCUCAACAGAAUUUGCAAUGUCAAAGUGUAAUCCUAACAUAUUGCUUUACAUCAUCCAUUUAAAGAGAUAGAAGACGACCACAGCCUCAUCCUCUGUUCUUCUGAAAUCCAACAUAGACGCAUCCACUUCUUCCAAAUUAUUAGCGUAAACCACUUCCAACUUCUCCAACUUUACACCAUGUUGCUUGGCCUGCUCAGUGACCUAUUGCUGUUCUUCUUGGACAUUUACAAAUUUUUUCAGGGACCGUUGUAAUAUGACACUUACACGGACUGAUACGAGAUUGGCUCGACACGGACUAAUAUGACAUCCAUACAGAUGUGGUAUGCGGAAAUCAAUGAGGUGCACUCGCUUCUUUCCCAUCACGGCUUUCUUACAGAAAAUCUAAUGGAUGACCCAUCUGCAAUUUGAAAUUGUCUGAGUCAAGAUGGAGCCCGUACGCUCGGCGAACUAGAGCUUCCGCAAAGUAUUUCACAACUUUGCUUUGUUGUUCGUUGGGUUUGUAAGCAGCAAGAGUCCAGAUCUGCUCAAGUAGUGAAUCGGCAAGUUUCAGAUCCCUAUCUUCAAUAGCUCGAGCGCAGUCUACAAGACUUCCAAGCAGAGAGACUCAUCACUGUAGGCAAAUACUGGUAGAAAUUUGGGGUUGAAAGAGGAUGUCGUACCGAUAAACUUGAGAUACAAAAGUCCAGCGAAAAGCAAGUAGCGGCGUGAUUUUGGUUUAUGGUGGUCCCAGUCCACACCGCCGGGGUUUUGACAGGACCAAUGAAUUAAAGCCAAACAUGAGCCCUCUUUCUCCACUUUGCUUUGUUUUUGGUUCAUCGAAAGUAAACCUCCCUUCGCUAGAAAUUGCCUACAACAACUACUACUUUCUUUUUUUCCUGACCAUAAAUUUUCAUCAAAAUAUGAAUCACAUUUUGUUUUUGUUUCUGCACAAAUUUUCAAAAAUAACGGUUUACUUCCACUGGAAAUGUUGAAUUUUAUGUUUCUUACUUUCCUCAAUUCCACCGAUUUUCGUUAUUGGAUUCUCAAUUUUAAUGAAAUUUUUUUCUUCGGCAUUGUUUAUUAAAAAACGACAUAAUUAUAAAAAUAAUUGAUAACAGAUUUUUAUCUUAAUUGAUGAUGUUGGUAUUUUAAUAAUGAUAGAAACUAUACAGGGUGCAUUAAUUUCUUGUUGCAUCAAAAUAUUAAUUUAACAAACUUAUUAUUUUAAUUAAAUAAUAAAAAUGUUUGUUUGUACUUUUUAAUUAAAAUAUAGUUAUAGAUGUCAAUUUUUUUAUAACAUUGUGAAAUUUUUUAACUCUGAUUCAUUAAGGACAAAAGAAAAGUUUUAAUUGCUCCAUUUUUGGUCCAACAGCAAUCCAUUCUGUUUUUAACAUGAAUUUGGAUUGGUGAACCAAAACAAAGAAAAAAUUAUGCAUUAUCCCAAAAGUUUUUCUUGGGUUAAAUACAAAAAAAAAAGUCUUUUAACAAAAUUAAAUAAUUAUUUAAGUUUUUAUUAUUUUAUACAUUUAAUUAAAUUAUUAAAUAUUUAUUUUAAUCUAAUUAAAAUUUCAAUUGAAAAGAAAAUGACGCUUAAGUAAUUUUGAAUAAUAAAAAUUCAAUUAAUAAAAAUAAAAUUUGAGAAUUUAAUUAAUUAUAAUAGUUUGAAAAGAUAAUUUAAUUUUAAUUACUAAAACUCGUUUUUUUUUUAUAUUUAUGGCUUUUCUUUCUUUCUAUAGCCAUAAGACCCCUAAAUUGUCGUGCUUUUCAAGUCAUGCUCACGUUUGUGUUGUAUGAAAAAUGAAAAAUUACUUUUUUUGGAAAAAUAAAUUUGGGUUAAGGGGGUUGUUUAGUCCUUAAGUCAAGAUAAAAUAUAUCGUAUUUUAACAGUUUAAAAUAUAAAAUUGUAAGUUAUACAUUCAAGAUGAUUUUAACAAAUGAUCAUUGAUAAAAUUCAAAUUCAAAAUUUUUUAUUACAAACCUUAACCAAUUAAGUUCAUUGGAUCUUUAAAUGAAAAACAUUUAAUAAGUUUUGUAUUUUUUAUAAAAACUUUAUAAUUUGAGAAUAAAAAAAUUAAAAAAAUUAAAAUUUAAACUCCUUACUUAAUAUUAUCUUUUUUAAAUAAUUAUAUUAACUAAUUAAAUUAAAAUACGGAUUUUAUUUUUAAAAAUCUUUGAAAAACUAAUUUAAAAGCAUUCGACAUCCAUAUUGUUUCUUUUCUUCUCUUUUUUUUUUUGUUUCUUAGUCUAAUUUUUUAAUUUUUAAUACAUCUACUUAUAAAUAGUCAACCAAAACUCCAAUUUUAGUCACGCUCUUCUCUGUUCCACAUAGUAGGAUACUUUGAUACACAACAAAUUAAAAUUAAUGGACAUUCAUCCACAGAUUAUAAAUGAUGCCCAAGAGUAACCUCCUCCAUCAUCACCGCCAUGGCCUCCACCUCCUUCCAUGGGCCUAGAGGCACAGAUAGCCGCCGCAAUUGUUGCUCAACAGAAUUUGCAAUACUAACAUUUUGCUUUACAUCAUCCAUUGAGAUAGUUUUCCAGUUUGCAAAAUCGCAAUCCAAACUCUCUCCAUCCCUCAAGUUAGUCCUUUUUCAAACUUAUUCACAUUUUGCUUUUUGUUGCAACAUUCAUCAAUCGGAGGUUUGGCAAGAUAUCCAAAUUGUUGGAGAAAGUAGCAAUCAUCCUUGCAGCAGUAACAUUCAUUUUCAGUACCAUUGCUGUCCCUCUCCAUUAAUCAAUUUAUUAUCUUUUGCGAUUCACAAGUAGUACCAUAUAGUAACAGCAUCAAGUUUAGUCUUAUUGCAACAUGCUUGCCAAUGCCAACCGCCAUAUGAUCUAACGAUUGGGUUUAAUCUACGACAGUUCAAGUAAAACAAAUAAAGUCUUAAUAACUUACUAUAAUGUAUAUUUUAUUUCACCAUUCAAAUGAACAGCAUGUUUGUUAUGUCUAAAGAUUGAUAUUCAAUUAAAAAAUAGGGAGAAUAUUGAUUGCAUAGAUCAAUAUAUAACAGGAAAGGAGCUUCUAUUUAAUACACUCUUAGUGAGAUUUUUUAAUUCUAAAAUUAAUAAACUAACAUAUAUCUUAUUUGUUAACAUAAGUUGGGAGGCAUAGAUAAAAAAAAACAAUAUAUAUAAUAAACUUUUAAAUUAUGUAACAAUUUAGUCUAGAUUUGUGUAGAAAAAAAUAUAUCAAAAAAUCGACAAAACAUAUUCAAAUUGCAUUGUUCGAUUCAUUAUUUUUGAAUCGAAAAGUAUUGACUUGAAUAGAUACUAAUUUAUGAUAAAUUUAUAAAUUAUAAGUUAUGAUAUUAUUGAUUAUUUAAACGAAGAGUAUUAAUUAAUAUAUUAAUCAAAGUUUAAAAUUGUUAAGAUUAAUUUCUUUUCUAUUAAAAUAUAAUUCCCGUCUCUUUCACUUAAUGGUUAACUUAGUAGGAUAUAAAAGUUUUGGUUUCUCUUCUUCUCUGUUUUCUCAAAUCUUUACAUUGAAUUUUAAAUUCCUUUGAUUAAUUCAACUAAACUUAAUCAAUUGAAAACUAUCAAACCCAAAAUUUAUAUAUGAUUUUGACGUGAAAUUAUUGUCUUUGUUUGGAAAUUAAUAAUAAAGAAAGAGGGGCUGAAUGGUGGUUGAAAAAAAGACAAGAAAAAUGAGGUUUUGUUUGGCUGUAAGAUUAUUCCCUUAUCAUUCUUUAUUUAAAUCUGAGUUAAAUGAGAAUCAAAUGAUUGGGCUUUCUGUUGAAUAGAAAUUUAAUUCCUUUGUAUUGUAUAGUUUUUUAUUGAAUGAAAACUUAAAUACAAUCACAAAAUUCAAAUAGAAAUUAAAUUAUUUAGUUAAAAUAUUUAAAAACAAAACUUAUGUAUUUAUUAUGAACUAGGCUUUUUGUGAUUAUGAUCAAGACACAACAAAAGAUUUUUUGAACCAAAUUGACUAAAGUAAAAUACAAUCUGAUUUUGGGAAGAAUCCAUUUCUGUGGCAUAUUGAUAAAGUACAUACAUAACAACUAUAUAUGCACUAGCUCUACUAGAAUCAUGGAUGAAUGUUUCCACACAAGAAUUUUCAAAUCACUAUAACAAACAAGGAAAGGAAACAUAGAGUCCAUGUAGCAAAUUUUAGGUUCAACGGAAAAGCAAAUGUAAUGGCAUGGCAAAAUGCAGCUGCGGCUAGGAGCAGAGCAACUUUUUCUAACAUUAUGGAAGUUCUGGCAUGUUUUUGGCAGAUAAAAAAUGCAACCAAGUGAAGGGCAAAUGUAAGCAAGACAGCAAAUGAAAGCAACGCAAAGGAAGAAGGGAACUCCUUUGGUUCGUCAGUUUGUGAACACUGGAGGGAGAUUCCAAGCGCAAAAGUAAAGCAAAAUGUCGAGUUUUGCCUGGCAUCCUUUCCAGAUUCCAAUCAAGAUGAAAAAUAAAAAUAAAUCAAGGGUAAGUACAAUCAUCCUUAUUGCCUUCCCACCUCCUUAUGCUUUUCUGGCCUGCUCAAAGAAAGAUGGAGAUUAGGCAGGGCUGGGAUUAGAAUUCUGAACACAAGCCUGCCCAUAACACGAUGAUAAAAUAUUUAUUUAAGUAAAAAAAUUAAGAUUUUGAGUAAAGGGUUGGGUCUAAUAUUUAGAUAAAUUAUUUAUUCGCCAUAGAAAAUUGUAGAAAAUAGAUAAGGGGAUCUAAUAAACAAAUUACAAUUGGACUUACUUCAUUUUGAUGUUUCCAACAUGUUCCGACUGCACACCGAAGCUUCCAUGCUCUCUGCUUCUUCACCAGCAGACUCAGAAGCGAAGCAUUGUAACUCCAACCAAUUGUCUAAAGAUGGAUCACCAUCUGGUAUUUCAACAGGUCAGUUUCAAGUUAGAUAAAUAAUAAUAACAAUAAUAAUAAGUAUCAUAAACUACCAUUUAUGUCGAAAUCUUUGGCAUUGUCUUCAGUACUCUUAGUUUGUGCAGAAUUCCAAUCUUUCGAAAUUUUAACCAAAGAAGAACUGUCUUUCUCGUCCAUCUUCCUUUUACUUUUAGCCUAUGAAAUUAAAAUGCAUAAAGGUAACUCAAGUCUUCCGAAAUUCCUGGCUAUAGUAUGGGUAAAACAUUUAAUCCAGAUCACCUUUUAUCAUAUGCGCUUACCUUAUUUUGCAGUGGUGCAUGAUUUGCUCUGUCAUCUGAGACAGCAAAUGAUCUCAGGUAAGUGAUAAAGAGUAUGUAACUCCAAACAAAUUAAAUCAUCUAGCUAAGGACAUUCAAAGCUUACUCUUUGAGCAAAGUAUCAUACAUCAAUCAACCAAAUGCGAUAAUAACAAAGUUAAGCCAUGUGGUUUAAAUGCAUCCUACUUACUCAAGGUUUAUUGUUAUUACUAUUAUUAUUAUUAUUAUUAUUAUUAUUAUUAUUAUUAUUUUGAUUAGGGAUGCCAAUAGAUAGAGUAUGAAAUAGUUAGGACAUUAUCAUCCCAUUCUCAUCUAUGAUUUUUUAUAUUAAUUCUAUCUUUGUAUCUGAAUCAAUAUUUCAAAUUUAUUACAUCACUAUUCUUGCGAGAAUUUAAUAAGUAUAAAUAAUCUUCAUAACUUAUUAAAAAAUAAAAAAUUAUUUUAAAUUUUUUAUCUUGCACAUUUAUUUUAAUUUUUUAUAAAUAAAAAUAUUUUAGAUCUAAUUAGUUUAAAAUAAAAAAAAUUUAUAAGAUUAAAUAAAAAAUCUAAUUUUUUGCUGCAAAAGAGUGGUCAAACCACUUAAAUUCUAGAGGUUCUAGAUCUUGCUACUCCUAGGAUAUCUUCCCCUUUAAGAGGGUUGGCCAAAACAUAAUGAGUACAAUCCUCACUAUAGCCCAGCUGGCCAUUUAAUCAACACAAAAAAUUCAUCUCUAAAGAGAUGAAUAAUCUUAAAAAAAAAAAAUCUAUCUAUUAUAUAUAUUUAUAUAAAUAUUUAGGAUACGAAUACAAGGUGAUUGCUAUAUUAUUCAUCCCUAUAUUCUAUAAAAAUUUUUAAACUAUACUCAUUUUUUUACUUAUCUCAAAAUUUAAUAUCUAUUCCUAUCUUUACAUGAUAAAAAAUCAGAUUUCGCAUAAGGUAUGAGUAAAAUUGAUAUCUUUAAGUUUGAUAAAUACUCUAAAGUGUUUCAAACAAGUAACAUUCAAAUCAAUGAGAUUUAUUAACUCACUUUGUAAAUUUUGUUGACAAUUAAAUUAAACUUUUUUUUUGGGAUUAAUCAAACUUAAUUUGUAUUUGUAAUGUUUUUACUACAUCGACAGGAUUAAAAGAUUAAGAUAUGUCUCAUUAAAUUGUAUUUUAAAAAAUUAACCAUCAAAUUAAACAUAUGUCCCAUUAAAGUGUCAAUCCUUAAGCAAGAGUUAAUAACCUUGGCUCCUUCCCAAACAUAUACUUCCACAGUAUAGAUCAAGAAACGUCCGAUGUCGGAAGUGAAGCGUGUCAUCUUGAGUGAAAGGAAAAUAAUUGCCAUGUGUGAGGCAAUCUGCGUAUUUCAUCACAAAUAGCGCACAAUCCACAGAGCUGCAUCGCCAAAGAAAAGAUUGAAAGUUUAUGUAAUUAACAAUUGAGUGAUGAAUCUUUAUAAACCAUAAAAUGAAAACCACAUGCUUCAUUUUCAUUAAUUCUCUCAAAUUAGGAGUGAAUACUUUCUUACUUCUUUUGCAAAGGAAUAUCUUUUGGGACAUCAAACGACCAAUCCUUAUGAUCAUGUCCCAAAGAUGGCAAUAAAAACUCUGAAAACCACCGCAAGAUUACUUUCUUCUCUGAAACAUUUGACAUUCGAGAAUGUUCGUCUGAAUCAAACCAUAGCAAUUUUUUAUCAUCAAUGUCAACAUAAAAAAGAAGCCAAUGUUCAUGUAAACAAAUUGGCAGAAACAACUGCAUUGACAGACAAAAAAAAUGUUACAAUUCUUCUUACUAGAAUAUGUUAUAAAAUCGUAUUAGAAAGUAGAACGACUAAUUAUCCCAUAGAAAAAAAAUUACCUUGCUCACGCCUUUAAAGUCCUUUUUUUUAAACCAACUUAAGACUUCAUCUUCAGUCCUUGAUCCCUUAAUCAAGUAAGUCUGAAUUCAUAAUUUAUAGUUGAAAAGUUAUUCUCAUGCCAACUAACGUGUAUAUAUAACUACUUAAUUAAGAUUUUGAAUAAAUUAAGGUACUCACAGCAAUACAAGAAUCGAAUGAAUAGUGCUUCAUGUACUUAUGUGGGAAUUUCUCAUAUCUUCUUUUAAGUAAAACGAAAAACUGAUUCACAACCUUCAAAUAUGGACAAGGCAGAUGCAAUAAAGGCAUUAAUUCAAGCAAUUUUUUUCUAAGAAAAAAAUGAAAAAUUAAGUAUUAUUUUGGAAGGAUACUUACGGUAUCUGCAAUAUAGUAAUUUUGUGCAUUCUCAUAAUCAACUUCAUGUGGAGUAAUCAUAAGCAAAGGUGCUAACGCACUAAGCGGUAUCUUAUCUUGUCCAACAGAUUCUCUUUAAAACAAAUACAACAAAU
rnacentral:lncRNA from 1 species